UUAUAGAUAGAUAGAUUUGCUCUUAUCUACAGAUUAAACACAAAGGAGAGAUAUCAAUCCUAACGUCCUAGCCAUACAAAAUCACGCACGCACGCCCUACCAACUUGCUACACACGGUUUAUACAUGUACCAUGUAUUUUACAGAGAAUACAAUGUCUAACAAGUAGGUCAUGUUCAAACAUGGCACACCGCCUCUUUUCUUCCAUUUUGCUCUUGUACUUUCCUGCUUAGACGUUUCUCAUUGCAUCACGCACCUCAUGAGGAACAUGAUCACACGGCUUCACUUGAUUUCCCAACCCAGAUACUCCCUCCGUUCCUAAAUGUAAGUCUUUUUAGAGAUUCCACUACAAACUAUAUACGGAUGUAUAUACACAUAUUUUAGAGUGUAGAUUCACUCAUUUUGCUUCGUAUGUAGUCCAUAGUGGAUUAUCUAAAAAGACUUAUAUUUAGGAACGAAAGGAGUAGAUGUUACACGAACCGGGUAGCCCCUCCACCACUGUAUGUGAUCCCACAAUGAAAGCACCUGAAUCCUUGUUCGCCACACUUUGGGCCAUGAUUCCACACAUAAUUAAUGCCUCCUGUGUGAACAUGCACGGUGCCUGCAUUCCAUAUUUCCAUGUAAACAAAAUUCCAUUUCCAUCGCAACAAAAUCAAAUGAAGACGAGAAGAAACACUUAUAUAGCAUCGAUCUUUAUAAUGAUGCAAACACGGAGCUUUGUAUUGAUGAAUUCAUGGUGUUUAAAAUAAACUAGAAUCUUAGAAUAUCUUGCACCACUAUUGCAGGUUUACAAUUGACAUCCAAUCCCAAUUGAUAUCAGCCCUGUGUUCAAACAAUUUGAAUGGGUUCAAACAGGCUUUGGAUUUGGCCAUUCAUGAUUCAUGAGUUCAUGAUGCUCUAUGUGAUAGGUCCAACACAUGCAACUCGAAAUGUAGGAGGAACUUCUG
rnacentral:lncRNA from 1 species